rnacentral:rRNA from 1 species
GGCUCUCUGUUUACAUAAAUAUAGGGAGUCGAGCCUGCCCAGUGAAUUUUUAAACGGCCGCGGUACUCUGACCGUGCAAAGGUAGCAUAAUCAUUUGCCUUAUAAUUGAAGGCUAGUAUGAAUGGUUUGACGAGAGCAACACUGUCUCCUUUUUAUUUUCAAGAACUUAACUUUUAGGUGAAGAGGCCUAAAUUUUAUUGAAGGACAAGAAGACCCUAUCGAGCUUAAAAGACAUUAUAGAAGUUUAUAUAUUUCUAAAUAAAUUUUCUAUUGAGCUUUUUAGUUGGGGCGACUAAGGAACAAAAAAAGCUUCUUGCUAAUAAUAGACAGUCAUGUUUAGAUCCGAUAAUAAUCGAUUAAAGAAAUUAGUUACCGUAGGGAUAACAGCAUAAUCUCUCUUGAGAGACCUAAUCGAAAGAGGGGGUUGUGACCUCGAUGUUGGACUAGAAUAUCCUAAAGAUGCAGAAGUCUUUGAAAGGUCGGUCUGUUCGACCGUUAAAAUUCU